GCCCGUCUAGCUCAGUGGGUAGAGCUAACCUUGUGGUCGUGGGUUCGAGCCCCACGGUGGGUU
rnacentral:tRNA from 1 species